rnacentral:rRNA from 1 species
UACGGGGGGGGUAAGCGUUGUUCGGAAUUACUGGGCGUAAAGGGCUCGUAGGCGGCCAACUAAGUCAUACGUGAAAUCCCUCAGCUUAACCGGGGAACUGCGUCUGAUACUGGAUGGCUUGAGUUCGGGAGAGGGAUGUGGAAUUCCAGGUGUAGCGGUGAAAUGCGUAGAUAUCUGGAGGAACACCGGUGGCGAAGGCGGCAUCCUGGACCGGUAUUGACGCUGAGGCGCGAAAGCCAGGGGAGCAAACGGG